rnacentral:lncRNA from 10 species
AAUGAAGGAUAGUUAGAUGUAGAAGGUAAAACAAAAGGAAUCAGCUUUUUGUGUCUGUGACAGAGGAUCUGAUACUUGAUGGUCUGACCACAAGGCAUCGCUCAGAAAUCAGCAGUCCUUUUCACCCAGUGAACAGCCAGCUGCUUUGAGCAGAGAGAGCUGUGGUUGGAACUCCUGCUCUGUGACUCAGGGGAGGAGGCAGAGCUUGCCGCAGAAUGCAGCCACUGCCCACAGCCCCUGUGCACUCCCUUUUCCCUUGUGCUGGCUUCCCGCUGCCAGCAUCUGCAAGUCUCUGCCUGGAGGUGAGCAGGAGGGUGCUGGGCCCAUUAGACAGGUGGCUAGGGCUGGGGAGUUCAUGGUCUUCACGCAGUUUCAGGUGGAGGUUGCAGGAUAUAUGGCCCAGCUUCCUGGCCCCAGGUGGAACAACCCUGAGACAUGUUCGCCAUUUCCCACAGGCCCCCAGUGGGACUGAGCCCUAGUUGUCUUCAGUGGCAAUCUUCUCAUUACCACCUCUCGUGUUGAUUCUUUUUCCCUUCACUUUCUCAUUUUUCCAUUUCCUUGUUGGUCCCCAUUAACUACUUGCACAUGAAUCUUUGUCUCAGGGUCUGCAUCUGGGGGACCCCAAAGACACAGACACUUGAGCUGUUACUCUGCCUUUAUCUUAGACCUAGCAUUGGUCUCCAGAGGUCACUCAUGACUUCAGGGCCUAUUUUAAUGGCCUCUUUCCCCAUGUGUUCCUUGGGAAUGUCCAUUGUUGAUGCGUCCUUCUGUACUAAGUAGAGUUUUUGGGCUGCAAGGAGGCAGUUAGCACAGGGAACUACGUAGUGAGGGACAUGGAGACUAAACAGCAGCUGGCCCAUCUCUCUGGCUUCUCAUGGCCAAGCCUGGGACACACAGCUGCCCUCGUGCAGGUCCAGAACUAUGGCACUUGUUCCCUCAGGACCCAUCCUCAAAGCCAGUGACUUGGUCUUUUCCUAUGACAAAGGAGCUCCCAGAAUGUGGCAGUCCCCCUUCCUAGAGGGAGAAUCUGACUGGGUCAGGGAGGCACCCCCGGUUUGCAGAGCCCCCAUUGGUCAGGUUCAGUGUCCAAAACACCUGAGGGGCAAGUGGCUUCUCGAAGUCCAGCCCAUAUGGUUACUUUUGACUUGGACACUCAAGGCACAGGGACACAUGACACAGGCACAGGGUGUGACAACUGCAUGCAGAAAGAGCCACUCUCAUUCCUCAGAAGAGGCUGUGGAGAUGAGUGGCUGAGCCAUGUGCCCCAAAAUUCAUGUUGAAGUCCUAACCCCCAGUAUCUUAAAAUGUGACCAUAUUUAGAAAUAGAACCUUUAAAGAGCUAACUGGGUUAAAAUGAAUUCAUUAGGGUAGGCCCUACUUCAGUAUGACCGGUGUCUUUAGCAGAAGAAGAAAUCGGUACAGACACGCAGAGGGGAGGGCAUGUGAGGACAUGGGAAGGAAAUGCCACUUGCAAGCCAAGGAGAGAGGCCUCAGAAGAAACCAGCCCUCCUGACACCUUGAUCCUAGACUUCCAGCCUCCAGAACUGUAAGAAAAUACAUUUCUGUUGUUUAAGCCACCUGGUCUUAGAGUUCUAUCUUGAAUUUCUCUCUGCUUCAGACUUUUCUGUUUUGUUUUUUAGCCUAAAUGCUAUUGAAAAGAGCAGAGAAGAUAGAGUGCAGGCCCCUAGAGACAGGAUGGAACGAAACACGCAGUGUGCAUCUGUGUCCUGCUCAGCAUACGCUCUUGGUCCCCACUGGGCCAUCUCGCUGCUGACUGGCAUCCCGAAGAACAGGCAGAUUGCACAGGGGCAGCUCUUUCCUCCAAAGCUGCAAUGUGGUGCAUGAAGUCCUCAGAUUUGGGAACUCAUACAGGCACUUGAGCUCAAACAUACAGUUCUGAUCUAAGACAUCACAGGGUCAUGGUGGAGCUGUUUCAGCUGCAGGUGGUAUUCCACCAUUUGGUCCUCCCUGAUGUCUCCUGGCACCUUUCCUUCUUCAGUCUCAGCACUCUGAAGAAGCGUGCUUGUGAGCGCCGCGGGACGAUCCAGGAUGUCCAGGAUUGUGGACGAUCCUGUUCUUCCCAUCUGUGAGGUAAGGCAGAUUAGGAAUGUCCACGUCUAGCUUGAAUUUCACAUCCAGCCAUUGGCUGCCACCAUGGCCAGGGGCUUCUGCAGAUGGAUCACCGUUUCCCUCCCAGGAGCAGGCAGGUGUCCAGUAUCAGCCCCAGAACAUCCCGGUCACCCAUCUCCAUAGGGCUUGGAUGACAUGAUGAUGCUCUCUGUGCCUCUGAGGACGGCGCCUUGGGUCUUUGUACACUAAAUCCCACCUUGUCCUCUCCUCUAUUUGAAACAGCCAUUUCCCAAAUCCCAAUCUGAUGAAAUCCUGUUCUUCCUUCCCUCAUGUUUCUCUAGGCCUCCUGUGGACUCCCAGAAUGUAAAGUCAGCAUUCCCUUGAGCCUUUUGGGGACUUAUAAGCACAUGGCCCAAGGUCCACCUAACUCUAGGUGUAUCCUGUAGAACCAGUAUUCUAAUCCUAACUUUAAAGAUCUUACAGGACCAUAGGGUGUGCGUAAAAAGCCUGCUGCAAAUCAGAGUGCUUCAACUGCGUAUUAAUGAGAUGGAGGAAAGAGGCUGUGAGUGCAGACAAUGAGUCCCUGAGUAAAUAGACUCCAGAGCCAAAGGUGUUCUCCACACCGAAAGAAUGACUGUACCCAGGGAAGGAGCUCAGACUCACCUGGACAAACCCUGAGGGGACAGCCAUGUUCCAGUGUGGCUAGGAGGGUCUGGAGCUGGGCACGUCCCCCAUGUCUGCUUGAUUCCCCUCUGGCCGAGUUCUACUCAGGUGAGUUGUGCUCAUUCUUGCUUCCCCAGGGCCUGGAUCACAGUUCCUCAAGCUUUGGGAUACAAACGAAUCACCUGGGAUUUGGAUAAAAUGCAGAUUCGUGUUCAGCAGCCCUGGCAUUCUGCAUUUCUCAUGAGCUCCAGGGAGACGCUGGUGCUGCUGGGGCAGGACCACACUUUGGGUGGCAAGGGCUUGGCAGGCAAUUCCAGGUGUCACCCUAGAGAUG